rnacentral:rRNA from 1 species
UACAGAGGGGGCAAGCGUUGUUCGGAAUUACUGGGCGUAAAGGGCUCGUAGGUGGCCAACUAAGUCAUACGUGAAAUCCCUCGGCUCAACCGAGGAACUGCGUCCGAUACUGGCAGGCUGGAAUCCGGGAGAGGGAUGUGGAAUUCCAGGUGUAGCGGUGAAAUGCGUAGAUAUCUGGAGGAACACCGGUGGCGAAGGCGGCAUCCUGGACCGGUAUUGACGCUGAGGCGCGAAAGCUAGGGGAGCAAACGGG